GACGAACGCUGGCGGCGUGCUUAACACAUGCAAGUCGAACGGAAAGGCCCUGCUUUUGUGGGGUGCUCGAGUGGCGAACGGGUGAGUAACACGUGAGUAACCUGCCCUUGACUUUGGGAUAACUUCAGGAAACUGGGGCUAAUACCGGAUAGGAGCUCCUGCUGCAUGGUGGGGGUUGGAAAGUUUCGGCGGUUGGGGAUGGACUCGCGGCUUAUCAGCUUGUUGGUUGGGUAGUGGCUUACCAAGGCUUUGACGGGUAGCCGGCCUGAGAGGGUGAACGGCCACAUUGGGACUGAGAUACGGCCCAGAGUCCUACGGGAGGCAGCAGUGGGGAAUAUUGCACAAUGGGCGGAAGCCUGAUGCAGCAACGCCGCGUGCGGGAUGACGGCCUUCGGGUUGUAAACCGCUUUCGCCUGUGACGAAGCGUGAGUGACGGUAAUGGGUAAAGAAGCACCGGCUAACUACGUG
rnacentral:rRNA from 1 species